UGGCGGCGUGCUAUACAUGCAGUCGAACGAGUUCUCGUUGAUGAUCGGUGCUUGCACCGAGAUUCAACAUGGAACGAGUGGCGGACGGGUGAGUAACACGUGGGUAACCUGCCCUUAAGUGGGGGAUAACAUUUGGAAACAGAUGCUAAUACCGCAUAGAUCCAAGAACCGCAUGGUUCUUGGCUGAAAGAUGGCGUAAGCUAUCGCUUUUGGAUGGACCCGCGGCGUAUUAGCUAGUUGGUGAGGUAAUGGCUCACCAAGGCGAUGAUACGUAGCCGAACUGAGAGGUUGAUCGGCCACAUUGGGACUGAGACACGGCCCAAACUCCUACGGGAGGCAGCAGUAGGGAAUCUUCCACAAUGGACGCAAGUCUGAUGGAGCAACGCCGCGUGAGUGAAGAAGGCUUUCGGGUCGUAAAACUCUGUUGUUGGAGAAGAAUGGUCGGCAGAGUAACUGUUGUCGGCGUGACGGUAUCCAACCAGAAAGCCACGGCUAACUACGUGCCAGCAGCCGCGGUAAUACGUAGGUGGCAAGCGUUAUCCGGAUUUAUUGGGCGUAAAGCGAGCGCAGGCGGUUUUUUAAGUCUGAUGUGAAAGCCCUCGGCUUAACCGAGGAAGCGCAUCGGAAACUGGGAAACUUGAGUGCAGAAGAGGACAGUGGAACUCCAUGUGUAGCGGUGAAAUGCGUAGAUAUAUGGAAGAACACCAGUGGCGAAGGCGGCUGUCUGGUCUGUAACUGACGCUGAGGCUCGAAAGCAUGGGUAGCGAACAGGAUUAGAUACCCUGGUAGUCCAUGCCGUAAACGAUGAAUGCUAGGUGUUGGAGGGUUUCCGCCCUUCAGUGCCGCAGCUAACGCAUUAAGCAUUCCGCCUGGGGAGUACGACCGCAAGGUUGAAACUCAAAGGAAUUGACGGGGGCCCGCACAAGCGGUGGAGCAUGUGGUUUAAUUCGAAGCAACGCGAAGAACCUUACCAGGUCUUGACAUCUUUUGAUCACCUGAGAGAUCAGGUUUCCCCUUCGGGGGCAAAAUGACAGGUGGUGCAUGGUUGUCGUCAGCUCGUGUCGUGAGAUGUUGGGUUAAGUCCCGCAACGAGCGCAACCCUUAUGACUAGUUGCCAGCAUUUAGUUGGGCACUCUAGUAAGACUGCCGGUGACAAACCGGAGGAAGGUGGGGAUGACGUCAAAUCAUCAUGCCCCUUAUGACCUGGGCUACACACGUGCUACAAUGGAUGGUACAACGAGUUGCGAGACCGCGAGGUCAAGCUAAUCUCUUAAAGCCAUUCUCAGUUCGGACUGUAGGCUGCAACUCGCCUACACGAAGUCGGAAUCGCUAGUAAUCGCGGAUCAGCACGCCGCGGUGAAUACGUUCCCGGGCCUUGUACACACCGCCCGUCACACCAUGAGAGUUUGUAACACCCGAAGCCGGUGGCGUAACCCUUUUAGGGAGCGAGCCGUCUAAGGUGGGACAAAUGAUUAGGGUGAAGUCGUAACAA
rnacentral:rRNA from 1 species